rnacentral:rRNA from 1 species
CGCGGCCUAUCAGCUUGUUGGUGAGGUAUUGGCUCACCAAGGCGACGACGGGUAGCCGGCCUGAGAGGGCGACCGGCCACACUGGGACUGAGACACGGCCCAGACUCCUACGGGAGGCAGCAGUGGGGAAUAUUGCACAAUGGGCGCAAGCCUGAUGCAGCGACGCCGCGUGAGGGAUGAAGGCCUUCGGGUUGUAAACCUCUUUCAGCAGGGAAGAAGCGUGAGUGACGGUACCUGCAGAAGAAGCACCGGCUAACUACGUGCCAGCAGCCGCGGUAAUACGUAGGGUGCGAGCGUUGUCCGGAAUUAUUGGGCGUAAAGAGCUUGUAGGCGGUUUGUCGCGUCUGCUGUGAAAAUCCGGGGCUCAACCCCGGACUUGCAGUGGGUACGGGCAGACUAGAGUGUGGUAGGGGAGACUGGAAUUCCUGGUGUAGCGGUGGAAUGCGCAGAUAUCAGGAGGAACACCGAUGGCGAAGGCAGGUCUCUGGGCCAUUACUGACGCUGAGAAGCGAAAGCAUGGGGAGCGAACAGGAUUAGAUACCCUGGUAGUCCAUGCCGUAAACGUUGGGAACUAGGUGUGGGUCUCAUUCCACGAGGUCCGCGCCGCAGCUAACGCAUUAAGUUCCCCGCCUGGGGA